CGGCCAGGCAUGAGCUCAGCGUCCCCGCCGGGUGUUGCCGGCAGGUUGCAUCAGACGCCGCGCGGCGCCGCCGCCCGCGCCUCCAGCCUCGCGUGGCCUUCCCGGGCCAGCCGGCCGUCUGGGGCCAGGGCUGGGUUUCCCCGAGCCGGGCCCGCACCCAGUCGAGCGGCCGGCGUCGCCGCGGCCUCCUCCUCCCCGUUCUCAGGGCGCCCGCCGCGGCCUCCUUACCUGCUCCUCCAGCCCGCCUGCCCCCAGGCGGCCUCCACUCCGAGCGGCCCCGCGCGGUGCGGCCCGAGCCGACCCAGGCCUCACAGCCCGCGAGUCAGCGAGGAGGAGCGACGGUUACGAAACCGGCAGCCUCCGCCCGUUCCGCAGCCGCGGCCACCGGCUUCCCCUACUCGCCGGGGCCGCGCGCGCCGCCGCCGCCAUCCCGACCAAUGGGAGCGCCGGCCUGCCGGAGGCACCGCCUUCUCUCGCGACGGGCAGCCCAGUCGACCAAUCGUGGGUCGGCUGGCGGCGGGAGGCGGGCCCACGGUGCAUGGGUGCGAGAUGAUCUCUGAAAAUAAGCAGCGAUCCAGUGUGACUUAAAACUCGCCAGGAGGACCCGAAAGCGUUUUAACACCAGGAAGCAGCAGCUCGCUGGGCGGAGGGCAGAACUCGCCUGAUAGGUUUAAUUGCUUCCUCUUUAGCAACGCGUAUCGUUCAAAAAAUUGAGGCUUUGAAAGAGGAAAUGUUUCUUCAGCGCCCAUGGAACCGGCUCGCCCCUAAUCAAUAUAUAUUCCACAAAUCCAAAGACUAAGUAGCCUCUAUAGCACUUUGGGAGGCCGAGGUGAGAGGAUCACUUGAAGCCAGGAGUUCAAGACCAGCUUGGGCAACAUAGUGAGACCCCUCAUCUCUAUUUAAUUUAAAAAAAAUGUAAAAUAAAAAAACCCUCCAAAGGA